CUCUGAAAAGCGGACGCUCCGGCGUCCCGCCGACGGUGCAAGCCGACUCCGUGCUUCCGGUUCCCCCGGGAGCACUGCCGGUCGGCGAAGCUCUCAGGCCGAUGACAGAG
rnacentral:ncRNA from 2 species